rnacentral:tRNA from 1 species
AUUGAGAUGUCUGACUUAAGUAGUAAACUGUAAAUUUAUUUAAGGAUUGAUUUUAAUCCUCUCAAUA